UUCUAUUAUAUUCUUUCUUUCUCUCUCCUCUCUCUUCUCUCUCUUCAGUGCUCCCACACUUGAUGCAAGUUUGCAUCUUCUUCCUUUCUCCCUGAAGGCUUGAACUCACCGAAACCAUCAAAUUAUCAGCCAGCAAAAUCUCUCCAGAUCUGCUCCUCCCUUCUUUUUGAAUUCAAAGUAGACAGUACUAGCAAAAGGAUGGAAUUCCAUCUUCACUCCCAAGUCCCUUGUUCUAAAUAUUCGGUGGUUUGGCUAUUUCUAGAUCUUCAAUGGUUUUGCUAUCUUCAGAUCUUCAUCCCCUUUUAAGACUUCGGGCAAUAAGAGCAGUAAUAGGUGGUGAUAAGGUCUUUGUGCACGACGAGAAGUCUCAACCCAAGUUUUGGAAUUGAUGGGGUGGGUCACUGGCAAAGGACUUCCAAAUUGAAGUAAAAGGAAAUGAUGUUCAUGUGGUUUUGCUCAUAACUCUUCUCAGAAAAAAGCAUCAAGCAUGCUGCGAUCGUCAAUGUGAACUCUGUCAAAGAGGUAGGUCUCAUCAAAAAGCCCGCGGAUCAAAUGGGCCGAUGGAGGCCCGCCGGCCCUGAGGGCUAAAGCCUGGCCCGGCCCGUUAAAAAGCCCGCUUCUGUGGGUAGUGGGCCGGCCCGCAAAAAUCCGGCCCGUAAAAGUCCGUAAAAUAUUAUAUAUAUAUAUAUAUGUGUG
rnacentral:lncRNA from 1 species